UUAACCCGCCGUCCAUUAAGAAAAAUUAUAAAAUUAAAAACAAAAACAUUAAAUGUGUAAAUCAGGUCCAAUGGACCCGUUUGGUAGACUGAGGGUAAGUCUUUAAGUCUUGAUUAAAACAUAAUCUCCCUUAUUACGUGGUAAUUGGUGCCAUUAAUUUCCUGAUAAUUAUUGUAAUAGGGGUAUUAUAAUAAUAGGCUAACAAGUAUUGGCCGCACGCGAAACACGCAAACGCAACGGCAGCAAAACCGUCUCUCACGACAAGAAAUAAUUCUUCUAGCCUCGAUCAAGGAGAAUUCUCUCACGGUGACUGGCAAUCGCGACAGUUUCCCAAAGAGACACGACGUCGGCGUCGUUGCUCGAGAACAAGCCGGAAGCGUCUCGUCAGCGUUUGUUCAUUAUCGAAGUUUGUUAGCGGAAAAGUGUGCGUCGACGGGAAAUCGAGAUAAACGUCGUUUCCCUCGCCCUUUCGUCCAUUCGUCCCUCGAAAUUUCCACACCCCCGUAUUAUCGCGACGCCGGCGACACGACAGCCGACAAACCAACAAGGGUUAACCCAAUUAUUUAGCUGCCGAACUCGUUGUCUGGGGGGUGAAGAAACGAUUCGCUGCGGAGUGUUUGUACGAAAAAACUAGCCAGAACUAUUUUAUUGGUUCUAUCUAAAUUAAAUGCAUUCACUAGUGAUAUAACAUAAUUAUUAGAAAAACAAAGAGGUAAGAACGUGGUAAAUCAGGAAGGGGUUAAAGAUGAAUGGCGAGAAUAGUCGUGAAUCUUUAUAAGGGUUAGAUAAAAGCUCAGAUCCUCGACCCAUGCUAUCUGUUAGCAAACUAUCUCAAUCCAACCGCCAAAUGGGCAGUAAACUCUUAUGAGCUAGGGUAGUAAAUUCAGAAAGAAUCGCAAGGGGUAGAAAGAGUGUCCUCAGUGAUAAUGUUUUCGAGAUAUUCCUUCGAUAGAAACGGUCUAUCCUCCGUUUCAGUGCAAAUAAAUUAAGGUUCAAGUGAAAUUUUCUCUAGAUUGUCAAACUUUCUCGUUGAAAGUUUCAACCCUUCCUUCGUUAAUUCCUCUGUUUAUUCUCAGCGAACCCCAUAAGGUCCCGCGAUCUUCCUUGAGUUAUGCGCCCUAGGGAGUUGUAUUUAUUUAAACAAUAAUUUCGAGGGAUCUGGAUGGCACUUAAGUGUCCAGUGAAAGACGUGUAUCAAGAGAUCGAAGCAGCGCUAAUACAAGUACCUAUGUAAUUAACCCAAGGUAUCUGUAUUCAAUGUUUCAAGAAAAUAUUCAGGAGCGCACAUGCGCCAAGAUGUACGAGGACCAGGUGUGUUGCCUGGUGAAUUCACUUUAUAUGGACACGUGGGUCCAGGCCCGACAAUUAUCGAUUGACCGUCCCUAAGAAAUGUCGAAGCGUCUCUCUCCGUCGUUCCAUCGGUGGUAAGGCGUUCCGACGAACGUAAUAACUUUAGGGAUUUCCCGGAAGAGCCAUCCCGACGUUUACGAUAAUCAGUCGCCGUAUAUUGGGUAACGAAAGCCCUCUGAGGAAGGUUUCGUUGCAUGUAAUCAUCUGUGGCGGGCCCUGGAAUCGCCGAUAAACCGACGUCACUUCGAUUUCUUUAACGAGACGCCGCGAUAAAUUAACCGAGUCGUUUCGGUCGUUUUUAAAAGCGGAAUCGCAAUUCCUUAUCCCUGGCCCGGUAGAGCUAGACCUACUUACCGAAUCGGGGCUGAACGAGGCCGAAAGCCGGCCGGAUUUUAAUAGUCCCGACCGUUUGUUAUCCUUUUAUGCAUUCGUUAUCGAUCCGCAUUAACGAGGAAACUCGAGAGGGCCCGGCAAAGGAGAAAAAGAAUAAUAAGAGGAUGCGAAAGGUUGGCAUGGGGUUUCGUAGCUUGGAAAUUUCAGGCUACCAUGGCCAGCCUCGGACCAUGCCGGCAGGCCGGUUAUGAAGUUGGAAGCUGCAGCUUCGCAGCUGGCGCCACAUGGCCCCUCUCUCUCGCUGCUACUGCUGGCUGCUCAACUUUCCUCAUUUGCCAUAAUCUAUGACCCCCCAUUAAGAGGACGGGGCCUAGAGCCGGGCUUACUAAGGACCAGGUAACACGGAUCCGUGCAAGAUGUCUCCGGUAACAACGAAGAAAUUAGCGGAAACUCGAAUUGCGUGGCCUCCGGUUGCAAUCGGCACUUCCACGGCAAAGAUAACGCCGACCACGAGGGUUGGGAGAUGCUCGCCUCCGCUCUGAUGUCGUGACGCGAGUGUUCUCGAUGGUCUUCGAUCGCGUUUCAAUUACUCUUCUUACAUUUUCUUUUUUCUUUUUUUUUUUUUUUUAGGGAACUUUAACCCGCUGUUCCUCUUGGGUUUAUGUAGAGGUAUCAGAGUUCAAAAUCGAAAUGACCUAAGUUUAUGGUUAAGGGUAGUUCAGAAUGAAACAGAGAGAUUUAAAGGUAGUUCUCAGAAAUGGAAAAGGGGAAUUUCAUUUGCCAGAUGACUGCACCGUCGAUUGAGUUAGCCAGACUAUCGGCAGAUUCUCUUUUCUUUUGAUGUUCGAAAAUCUAUGUUAUCUACAUUUCCAGAUCUCAGAUUCAAUUCAUUCUCUUCAUGUAAGUUUGAUUUUCUAGCACACCCAUCUGUCAUGCAUAAGCAUUUAUAAUUCACUUGCAAAGAACGUUUUUUUUUUUACUAGAAUGUAAUUAAAUUUGAAAAAUAUAAAAUAAUCGAGGAAUAAAAUCCGCUAUUGGGAGGAAUGGUCGUGUUACGGGACGUUUGAAAGAUUCCCCCUUUAGAAACGAAGGUUUCGUUCGCUUACCACCGAUGCAAGCUAUAAAUCUCGGUCGACUUGCCGGUGAAAUUGCACGCUUUACAUCUCCUCGCGGGUAAGUGGAAAUUGGUUCUUCCAUUCCGACAUCCCUGAAACUACCAACUUUAAUCUUGCGCCAAAAUCGAUGUGGUCUUUGCCAUCCCGAUAGCGAGCAAAAGGAGGCGGAAGGGGGGGCAUUUCUACAUUGAUUUACUUCGCGAGCGACAGGUUUAUUACUUCGAUGUGUACAAACGCACCUGCAUGAAUAAAAUCCGCUUCGUACGACUCCGGUCGGGAUUGAUUCGAAUUCUCGCGGAGAAAUCAAGCGUUCCGACGGGAACGGGGAAUGUAUAACAUUCCGAGAUCACGAGAUUGGAUUCUUCUUCUUCGUACGCUUUCCUUUUAUCCCGCGCGGGGAACAAAUUCACUCAAAAGUCAGCACCCGUUUACGACCGAGACGCUGAUUAUUGCAAGUGCUCUUCAAAAUUUGAUUUGUCCGCAUAAAUUGCAAGCACAAACAUGGCGGAUAAAAUACAUGUUUAUCGUUGCACGAGGGAAAAUUGCAUUACAGGCGAAGUAGAAAUUCUUCUAUCGAACUUAGAAUUUGUUUGAAAAAAUCGUAAUGCGUGCUACAUAGAUUUUUAUUCGAUGGUCGCUUGCACGGGUCUCCUCGAGACUUCGACUCUCCGGAACCUUCUCCUCCCCGUAGAAACCCUUAUUAACCAUAUUAACCCUUGUUUCCCGUCCACCCUUAAUUGAAAGAAUCUGUUAUACAAAAUCCCAUAGAAAUCGGGGGCUAAUGGGCGUAUCGGAAUUCACGGCAUAUGGCGCGUCUCGUGGUGUCCAGUGAUGGGAACGCGAGUGGAAGCAAGUCGGCAAGUCGAAGAAGAGGGACGAUCGUGAUGGAGAGUAGGUAGAAGCACGGUACAUGGCCUUUGUACGGGUGCUUAGAAGCGUGAAGGCUCGCAUAGACAUUAUUACAUUAUCCGUGUAAAUGUGAGGCAGCGAGUGUGCGUCUCUUAUGUUGACCGCACUCACCGGGAAAUAACUUCCAUGAACCACACCUUGGUAAUCGACGUGCUUCAUAGAAGCAUAAACGAUACCCGAGGGUACGUGCAUCGUGUCGGUGAAAUUCAGAAGCUUCUUAAUCGAAUACUUUUUAAAAAAUGUUGCAUAAUACUUGGACAUGCUGGUGCAAGGGUGGAGGAAUCGAUACACAAUUCGUAUGCGACGAUGCCAAAUGAAAAUGGAGCAUAUCGACAGGCAAAAGGUACGCUUGGCCGCGAACGAAGCGAUAAAUGCCCGGAGGAAUUGUAAAAUAUGGUUUACGACGGUGCUGCAAUGCAGGUCCCCGAGGUGGAAGAGGAUUCACCUUCUUCUUCUUCUUCUUCGACCGAUCGAUAGGUCGGAUCGACUGACGGCAGCCGUCUCGAUUCUCUGAGGAAACGGAUUUCAGGGGGAUGAGAAGGGUGGGACGAAAUUCGAAAUCUCCUCGGGCAGAUUGCCUCGGAGCGCAAAGUUCUCUUUAACUCCUUGCCGCACAAAGAACUGCGUUUGCCCGACGAAAGUGUCGCGAUGAAAAGUCGCGAAAAUGUCUAGAAUCAACGUGUUGCAGGGCAAUCGACGCGUGCUUCGAGCGACCGGCUUUCAACCAGCUCCCGAUUCCUCGAGGCGUUUCAACAGGCUCGGACUAAUUCCGUCACGGUCAAUGGCUGCCAGUGUCGUAUCGCCGUGGUUCGCGAGACUGUCCCUGACGGUGACAUGUGGCCAGGAGAAAAAUAGAAAAUUUCUCGACUCAUCCGUGUGCAAAGAGAGAGAGGAAGAGGACGCCGAUCACUCAGAAAGCCGAAUGAAAUUGGCAUUUCAAUUGGACAAGACAAAAAUUGCAGUACUAUCGUCCCGACGGGGCGACGUACGGCAGUUAAAUCGCAGUAUCGUACCGACGCGUCAGUCGACGACAACAUCGAUCGUUUUCGACGUGGAGUCACGACAGAUUGUCGGCCAAUUUCGCGGAGACGCGUAUGAAUUACUGAUAGACCGCUGACAGUCGAUCCUCACCGAUUCUAAUUCGUUCUGCUUGUUUUCAAGAAGUCAUAACCGAAUGUUUAUGGACCAGUUCAGGGUAUGGUUAAUGAAUACAGUUGUUAAUUAAAAAGGUAAGAAAUAUAACUUUAUUUAUCUUUUGUAUAAUACAUCAACUUGUCUCCGUGCGAAUUCGGUUGUGAUUUGUUGAUCUAAGUUACAAAGAAAUCUUAGUGUCUCUUCGUUUCGUCGUCGAGUAACUCUAAAACGAGAUCCGUGCACAAAGAGCGUCAUGGCACGCCUGUGUGCCCGAGCCUCAUUUAAAUAACAGAUAAUUGCCAGUCCUGUUAAUUGAAGCGCCGCGGGGAUCGUCGGUUGGAAGGGAGAGGCUAGAGAAGAGUUAGCCAAGAUUUUGCACCGGUACACCACCCUCUCGUUUCCGUCUUCCGUUCCUUUCUCUCUCUCUCUCUCGUUACCUGUGUCUCCUUUCCUAUCCGAGAGUUAACGCGAGACCCGAUUUCCCGUCUGCCGAGCUACUGCAACAAAUAAAUCGCUUUUGUCAUUUGCACGCCACCCUCCACCCCCUUGUAUUUCACCCCUUUUCAGCCAGCCAACUGUUAGCGACGGUUACAGACUCGUCGAUAGAACGGUAAAAAGUUGAGCAGUUUCGCAGCAAAUCACGGCGCAGAGUUAAUCUGGCUAAUGGCGAUGUUCGUUGCGCAGAAAUUCGAAACGUAUCGUUAUCUUAGAAUUCCUUGCCCUUCGCUCCGGUUCCCUCCCGUUCCCUUGUUUCCUAUCCGGUCCUGCGUCGAAGGACAAAACAGGGGAGGAUCUCGUUUAAAUAACGGAUAAUUGGAAGUCUCCUUAAUUGAAGCUGUGCGCGGCGGAACAGUUAGCCGCGUUCCUCGUGACACGCCUUGCACCCGUUUCCUCCUUUAACCAGACGAAUCCCGUUGUUAACGUCAACCACAAAUCUGUGCGAGAAAGCCCGGCUAAGAAGAUGGAACAUUGUUUGGCGAAAGAAUUUCGAGAGCACCAGGUUCACUCUUUUGCUUCCACCAUUUGUCUAGCAGUUUACUGUCGCCAUGAAUCCUCGGUAACCGGAAACCGUGAAAAACUACCCAGACGAAAUGAGAAACGAACGAGUAUCGUCGCGUUGCAACAUCCAGUCAUCGAUCCUCCACGCAUCCUCGAGGCACAAUGGAGAGACUACGCAAUAAAUUCCGGCUAAAAAAGGAUCGGGAGAAGAGAAUAAAGGAACAGAAGAGUUGCGCUACGAGUCCGCUCUGCUCACUCGACGAUUCAUGGACUCAGCGCGAUCUCAUCUUAAAGAUUACAUCUGAGCGGACUGUAACGAACUGGGGAUCUCUUUUUCCUGCUGCUCGCGACUGUUCCUCCAUUCCUGCUACCCUUUACGAUAUCGUUCAGCCCGCCCCCGUGUUUUCUCCCCAGGAAGAAAGGGAACUUCGAACUGCUCUUUGAUGACGAUGCGUCGCCGACUCCGUGCCCGUAGCUUUAUUUUAUAGGCGUCUUCUUGCCGAUCCAAAUAUUGAUUGAGAUUCGCGAAACUUGCCGAAAGGACCAUCCCCCUCGAAUCGCUGAAACGAAAUCUAUUCGAGGCAGGGUGGCCUCCCGCUUGGUAUUCCAACAACGUUCCAAGUGGUUCAUCCGCGAUCGUGGAUUUGUUCGAGCCGAAUGCUAUUCUAUCGGGGAUAGAGACCAAAAGCUCGUUGUCAGGAAAACAAUGAUCUUUAUCUUAUAUAUAAUUUAGUUUCCUUGUUAUCGAAAGGGGGAUAGGAACGCAGCUAUGUGAACGAUGCGUUUGUGAAUCUCUGAGUCUGCUGCAAUCAGAAUCAAAGAUUUAAAGCCAUUUAGUUUUUAAGAAAAUAAAAAUUAUUGGUCCGUGAUUUUGUAAGAUUCAACUCCUCUGUUUAAAGAUUAAGAAUCAUCAGAAUAGUGUUCUAGUGACUUUAAGAAAAUGACCCACUUCGAAUGCCAUUCAAGGCAUUGGAUUACAAGCGAAAUGUUACCAAAGAUGAUGCUCGCCAAUCAGAAUCGUUCGAAAGCGAAGGACCUGAAGGUGCUUCCAAUUACACGAAACGUCACGGUUGAGUCAAGAGAUCGGGGUCACGUCAUUCCAAGCAGAUUUCUCUCUUCUCGCUGCACCCGCGUUUGGUUCACGCUACUUCUCCAUUUUUCUCCUAGUUCGUGUCACUGAUCGCCUUAUCUAAACUGGUUUUAGCCGAGUGCACGAGCGAUACCGUAAAAUUGAAGAGUGUGUAAUUCGAAUUACUGCUAGAUUCGAUUUGCCAUAAACGAUACAAUGGGUAUUAGAACUGUUAAACGAAAUGUAAUGAAAAAUUUAGUUAAUAAACGAGCAGAAGAACGCGAGUGAUCCUCGA